rnacentral:rRNA from 1 species
UUGGGCGUAAGAGCUUGUAGGUGGUUUGUCGCGUCUGCUGUGAAAAUCCGAGGCUCAACCUCGGACUUGCAGUGGGUACGGGCAGACUAGAGUGUGGUAGGGGAGACUGGAAUUCCUGGUGUAGCGGUGGAAUGCGCAGAUAUCAGGAGGAGCACCGAUGGCGAAGGCAGGUCUCUGGGCCAUUACUGACACUGAGAAGCGAAAGCAUGGGGAGCGAACAGGAUUAGAUACCCUGGUAGUCCAUGCCGUAAACGUUGGGAACUAGGUGUGGGUCUCAUUCCACGAGAUCCGUGCCGCAGCUAACGCAUUAAGUUCCCCGCCUGGGGAGUACGGCCGCAAGGCUAAAACUCAAAGGAAUUGACGGGGGCCCGCACAAGCGGCGGAGCAUGCGGAUUAAUUCGAUGCAACGCGAAGAACCUUACCAAGGCUUGACAUACGCCGGAAUCACUCAGAGAUGGGUGCGUCUUCGGACUGGUGUACAGGUGGUGCAUGGUUGUCGUCAGCUCGUGUCGUGAGAUGUUGGGUUAAGUCCCGCAACGAGCGCAACCCUCGUUCUAUGUUGCCAGCACGUCAUGGUGGGGACUCUUAGGAGACUGCCGGGGUCAACUCGGAGGAAGGUGGGGAUGACGUC